rnacentral:rRNA from 1 species
CAGUAGCCGCGGUAAUACGAAGGGGGCUAGCGUUGUUCGGAUUUACUGGGCGUAAAGGGUGCGUAGGCGGAUUGUUAAGUCAGGGGUGAAAUCCCGAGGCUCAACCUCGGAACUGCCUUUGAUACUGGCGAUCUUGAGUCCGGGAGAGGUGAGUGGAACUGCGAGUGUAGAGGUGAAAUUCGUAGAUAUUCGCAAGAACACCGGUGGCGAAGGCGGCUCACUGGCCCGGUACUGACGCUGAGAGACGAAAGCUAUGGGAGCAAAUGGGAUUAGAUACCCCCGUAGUCCCUGUCUCUUAUAC